rnacentral:tRNA from 1 species
GGGCCGGUGGUCUAGCUUGGUUAGGACAUCCGCACAAGCGAACCUUAAGCAGCCCUUACGAGGCUGAGGUCGCCGGUUCAAGUCCGGCCCGGCCCACCA